rnacentral:rRNA from 1 species
UACGAAGGGGGCUAGCGUUGCUCGGAAUCACUGGGCGUAAAGCGCACGUAGGCGGAUUGUUAAGUCGGGGGUGAAAUCCUGGAGCUCAACUCCAGAACUGCCUUCGAUACUGGCGAUCUUGAGUCCGGGAGAGGUGAGUGGAACUCCGAGUGUAGAGGUGAAAUCGUAGAUAUUCGGAAGAACACCAGUGGCGAAAGGCGGCUCCACUGGCCCGGUACUGACGCUGAGGUGACGAAAGCGUGGGGAGCAAACGGGAUUAGAA